GACGAACGCUGGCGGCGUGCUUAACACAUGCAAGUCGAACGAUGAAGCUGGAGCUUGCUCCGGUGGAUUAGUGGCGAACGGGUGAGUAACACGUGAGCAAUCUGCCCUUGACUCUGGGAUAACUGCGGGAAACUGUAGCUAAUACCGGAUAUGAGAUCUGAAGGCAUCUUCGGGUUUGGAAAGAAUUUCGGUCAAGGAUGAGCUCGCGGCCUAUCAGCUAGUUGGUGAGGUAAUGGCUCACCAAGGCGACGACGGGUAGCCGGCCUGAGAGGGUGACCGGCCACACUGGAACUGAGACACGGUCCAGACUCCUACGGGAGGCAGCAAUGGGGAAUCUUGCACAAUGGGCGAAAGCCUGAUGCAGCAACGCCGCGUGAGGGAUGAAGGCCUUCGGGUUGUAAACCUCUUUUAGCAGGGAAGAAGCGAAAGUGACGGUACCUGCAGAAAAAGCACCGGCUAACUACGUGCCAGCCGCCGCGGUAA
rnacentral:rRNA from 1 species